GGGGCUGUAGCUCAGUUGGUAGAGCGCUUGCAUGGCAUGCAAGAGGUCGGCAGUUCGAUUCUGCUCAGCUCCA
rnacentral:tRNA from 1 species